UACGGAGGGAGCUAGCGUUGUUCGGAAUUACUGGGCGUAAAGGGUGCGUAGGCGGGUCUUUAAGUCAGGGGUGAAAUCCUGGAGCUCAACUCCAGAACUGCCUUUGAUACUGAAGAUCUUGAGUUCGGGAGAGGUGAGUGGAACUGCGAGUGUAGAGGUGAAAUUCGUAGAUAUUCGCAAGAACACCAGUGGCGAAGGCGGCUCACUGGCCCGAUACUGACGCUGAGGCACGAAAGCGUGGGGAGCAAACAGG
rnacentral:rRNA from 1 species